UACGUAGGUGGCAAGCGUUGUUCGGAAUUACUGGGCGUAAAGCGUGCGUAGACGGUUAUCUAAGUCGGAUGUGAAAGCCCCGGGCUCAACCUGGGAAUUGCAUUCGAGACUGAAUAGCUAGGGUGCGGUAGAGGGAAGCGGAAUUUCCGGUGUAGCGGUGAAAUGCGUAGAUAUCGGAAGGAACAUCAGUGGCGAAAGCGGCUUCCUGGACCAGCACCGACGUCAGGCACGAAAGCGUGGGGAGCAAACAGGA
rnacentral:rRNA from 1 species